rnacentral:rRNA from 1 species
GGACUACUGGGGUAUCUAAUCCUGUUUGCUCCCCACGCUUUCGCGCCUCAGCGUCAGUAUCCAGCCAGAAAGUCGCCUUCGCCACCGGUAUUCCUCCCGAUAUCUACGAAUUUCACCUCUACACCGGGAAUUCCACUUCCCCCUCUGGUACUCAAGUCUGACAGUUUCAAAUGCACUUCCACAGUUAAGCCGUGGACUUUCACAUCUGACUGAUCAAACCGCCUACGCGCCCUUUACGCCCAGUAAUUCCGAACAACGCUCGCACCCUCCGUAUUACCGCGGCUGCUGGCAC